AACGAACGCUGGCGGCAGGCCUAACACAUGCAAGUCGAGCGAAGCCUUCGGGCUUAGCGGCGGACGGGUGAGUAACGCGUGGGAACGUGCCCUUUGGUACGGAAUAGCCCCGGGAAACUGGGAGUAAUACCGUAUGUGGUCGAGAGACGAAAGAUUUAUCGCCAAAGGAUCGGCCCGCGUUGGAUUAGGUAGUUGGUGGGGUAAUGGCCUACCAAGCCGACGAUCCAUAGCUGGUUUGAGAGGAUGAUCAGCCACACUGGGACUGAGACACGGCCCAGACUCCUACGGGAGGCAGCAGUGGGGAAUCUUAGACAAUGGGGGAAACCCUGAUCUAGCCAUGCCGCGUGAUCGAUGAAGGCCUUAGGGUUGUAAAGAUCUUUCAGUGGGGAAGAUAAUGACUGUACCCACAGAAGAAGCCCCGGCUAACUCCGUGCCAGCCGCCGCCGUAA
rnacentral:rRNA from 1 species